rnacentral:rRNA from 1 species
GCCAAGGAGAGUUUGAUCCUGGCUCAGGAUGAACGCUGGCGGCGUGCUUAACACAUGCAAGUCGGACGGGAUUAUCGGGAAGCAUUGUAGUGGGUAACUGUUGUGAUGUGAAACGAUAAUUUAGUGGCGGACGGGUGAGUAACGCGUGAGGACCUGUCCAUCGGAGGGGGACAACAGCUGGAAACGGCUGCUAAUACCGCGUAUGCGCGAGAGCGUGAGAGGGUGGAGACAUCCGCCGAUGGAGGGACUCGCGUCCUAUCAGCUGGCAGGUGAGGUAACGGCUCACCUGGGCGAAGACGGGUAGCCGGACUGAGAGGUCGCACGGCCACACUGGGACUGAGAUACGGCCCAGACUCCUACGGGAGGCAGCAGUGGGGAAUAUUG